rnacentral:tRNA from 1 species
GCGGCCAUGGUGUAACGGUUAGCAUGGCUGAUUUCCAUUCAGCCGCUCGGGUUCGACUCCCGAUGGCCGCA